GGGUAUGGCCAUAUCACCUUGAACGCACCUGAUCUUGUCUGAUCUUGGAAGCUAAGCAGGGUCAGGCCUUGUGAGUACUUGGGAGAUAACACAUGUUUGUCAUGAAGU
rnacentral:rRNA from 1 species